AUGAGAGUGCUAGGGAACAAAAUAGAACAAAAAGGCCCUGGGGAGCUGCCGCUGUUGCUGCUUGUGUUGAGUCCAGAACCGCAGCCGGACGUGGGGCUAGAGGACGAGCAAAGGAUGCUGACCAGCUCUGGAGAUCCCAAGGAGGAGGAAGAAGAGGAGGAGGAGUUAGUGGAUCCUCUAAAAACAGUGAGAGAGCAAUGCAAGCAGCCGGAGAAAUGUGUAAAGGCUCGGGAGCGGCUAGAGCUGUGAUGAGCGUGUAUCCUCCAGGUCACAGACGGAGGAGGACCGCACAGAGUAGCUCUUGACUUCUUGCAUGCAAGAGACCACUGUGUGGCCCACAAACUGUUUAACAGCUUGAAAUAAGUGUGCAGAUUUGUUCACCCCAACCUUCAUCACCUGUGCAUUGGGAUAUUUCCUCAUGGUUUUGAACAUGAUGUUUACUUGUGUAACUAAGUUCAUGUGAAUCUCAAGGAUUUUGGCUUAGGCAAGUAAUUUCUGUGUAAUUAUCAGUGAUUUCAUCUUAAUAAAGUCCAGUGAUCAGCAAA